GGAAUCUUCCACAAUGGGCGCAAGCCUGAUGGAGCAACGCCGCGUGAGUGAAGAAGGUCUUCGGAUCGUAAAAACUCUGUUGUUAGAGAAGAACACGAGUGAGAGUAACUGUUCAUUCGAUGACGGUAUCUAACCAGCAAGUCACGGCUAACUACGUGCCAG
rnacentral:rRNA from 1 species